rnacentral:rRNA from 1 species
AACGAACGUUGGCGGCGUGGAUUAGGCAUGCAAGUCGAACGAAUCCCGUGGGGGCAACUCUGCGGGGGAAGUGGCGAAAGGGGCAGUAAGGCAUGGGUAACCUACCCCAAGGUCGGGCAUAGCCACCCUAACGGGUGGGUAAUUCCCGGCGUGCUACCGGAGCUGCAUGGCACUGGUAGGAAAGAGUUUCGCCUUGGGAGGGGCUCAUGUGGUAUUAGCUGGUUGGUGAGGUAACGGCUCACCAAGGCCAAGAUGCCUAGCGGGUGUGAGAGCACGACCCGCGCCACUGGCACUGGGACACUGGCCAGACUCCUACGGGAGGCUGCAGUCGAGGAUCUUCGGCAAUGGGCGCAAGCCUGACCGAGCGACGCCGCGUGUGCGAUGAAGGCCUUCGGGUUGUAAAGCACUUUCGGGGGGAAGAAAGGGCAACUUGAUCGACCCCCAGAAGAAGCACGGGCUAAGUUCGUGCCAGCCGCCGCCGUAAUAC